rnacentral:rRNA from 1 species
UUUAAAGUCUGACCUGCCCAAUGAAGUUUUAAAUGGCCGCGGUACUUUGACCGUGCAAAGGUAGCAUAAUCAUUAGUUUUUUAAUUGGAAGCUGGAAUGAACGGUUGGACGAGGGAAUAACUGUCUCAAUUUAAUUUAAUUAGAAUUUUAUUUUUAAGUAAAAAAGCUUAAAUAAUUUUAAAAGACGAGAAGACCCUAUAGAGUUUUAUAUAAGUAAUUAAAUUGGUUAAUAAGGAUUUAAUAUUUUAUUUAAUUAUGAGUAUUUUGUUGGGGUGACAAAAAAAUUGAAUAAACUUUUUUUAUAUUAUAUCAUUAAUUUAUGAGUCAGUGAUCCGUUAGAGAACGAUUAUAAGAUCAAAUUACCUUAGGGAUAACAGCGUAAUUUUUUUUGAGAGUUCUUAUCGAAAAAAGAGUUUGCGACCUCGAUGUUGGAUUAAAAUUAAUUUUUGGUGUAGGGGCUAAAAUAUUGGGUCUGUUCGACCUUUAAAAUUUUACAUGAUCUGAGUUUAAACCGGCGUGAGCCAGGUUGGUUUCUAUCUUUAAAAAAUUAAAAUAUUUUAGUACGAAAGGACCAAAUAUUUAUAAAAUUUAUUUAUUUUUGAUUAUUAUUAAG